GACGAACGCUGGCGGCGCGCCUAACACAUGCAAGUCGAACGGAGCUGAGAGAAGCUUGCUUUUCUUAGCUUAGUGGCGAACGGGUGAGUAACGCGUGAGUAACCUGCCCUGGAGUGGGGGACAACAGUUGGAAACGACUGCUAAUACCGCAUAAGCCCACGAUCCGGCAUCGGAUUGAGGGAAAAGGAUUUAUUCGCUUCAGGAUGGACUCGCGUCCAAUUAGCUAGUUGGUGAGGUAACGGCCCACCAAGGCGACGAUUGGUAGCCGGACUGAGAGGUUGAACGGCCACAUUGGGACUGAGACACGGCCCAGACUCCUACGGGAGGCAGCAGUGGGGGAUAUUGCACAAUGGGGGAAACCCUGAUGCAGCGACGCCGCGUGGAGGAAGAAGGUUUUCGGAUUGUAAACUCCUGUCGUUAGGGACGAUAAUGACGGUACCUAACAAGUAAGCACCGGCUAACUACGUG
rnacentral:rRNA from 1 species